rnacentral:misc_RNA from 1 species
GAAAUAUUUAUUAUAUAUUAAAUAAUCUCAACGCCAAUUAAUACUUACCCUAAUCCACUCACAUAGAAAAGGAAAAGUCACUGCACGUGUACAUCUCUCUAUAGUAUAGAAAAAGAAAAAAAAAUGCACAAUCAAAACAACUCAAUAUUUUUGCCCGUGAUUUCUGCUACUCCUGCUCCUGAUUUUGGGAUUCUUUUCUGGUUUUG